rnacentral:lncRNA from 10 species
ACACAAUGAUUUUCAGACAACUGCCCAUUCGCCAAUUCCAACCACCUCGGCCCACUGCCCAAAUCCAACGUUUCUGGUCUCCGGGCGGCGCUGCCUUAGCAGGAUCCGCCGCCAGGUGGCGCGCUCCCCCCGCCCGGAGUGGGUUUUGUUCCAUCCCGGACUUAGAUCUUCCAAGACGGCGAUUUCCUUCUGGUCGGGUCUCUUCCCGAGGAUCCGCUUUACUCGUACUAGAAACUCUGACCUCGAAUGCAGUUCCAGAAGCAGAACCCUGUAGGGGGUUUCAGGCGGCCAAGAAGGGAAGUGGUUCUCCUAAGACCGUCCCGGCUUCAGUCCACGGCGCUCACUAAAUGCCUCCCACGCCAGACGAGGUCCCCCGUCCCCGGAGCUCGCGUCCCAGAGUUGUAGCCUCCCUUCAGGAUGUGGAUUCACAUGCAACAUGAGUGGUUCACGUGUUGAAAUCCUAACUCCAAAUAUGAUGAUAGGAGGAGAUGGGGCCUUCGGGAGGUGAUGAGGUCAUGAGGGUGGAAUCCUCAUGAAUGGUCUCAACGCCCUUAGAAAAGAGACCCCAGAGACCUCGCUCCCGCUUUCUACUGUGGGAGAAUGCAGCAAGAAGUCAGCCGUCUAUGAACAAGGAAGCAGGUCCUCUCCAGGCACUGAAUGUACCAGUGCCUUGAUCUUGGACUUCCCAGCCUCCAGAACUAUGACAAUAAAUUCUGUUGUUUAAGCUACAUGGUCUAUGAUACUUUUGUUAAAGAAGCCCAAAGUGACUAAGACAGGCAUCAAACAAUAUAUUGUCCUUUGUGAUGGAUCCUUUCACUUUGCAUAAUGUUUUCAAGGUCUAUCCAUUUUAUACCACAUAACAGCACCUCCUUUGCUUUCAUGGCUGAAUAAUAUUCCAC